rnacentral:tRNA from 1 species
ACCUGGCUAGCUCAGUCUGUGGAGCACAUGACUCUUGAUCUUGGGGUUAUAAGUUCGAGCCCCAUGUUGGGUA